rnacentral:lncRNA from 1 species
GAAUGGGGAAAUCCAGACAGAUUUAUGUAUAUAUUAAGGGGGUUUAUCUUGGAGGUUGAAAUCACAAUUCAAGAGGAAAUUCUUCAUGGGACAUUCUAAAGGAAAGUAUUGAUAACUAAUGUACCCACCAGAACCUCUUCUCACGUAAAAAUUGCCGCUGUCCCCAGCAAAUUCCGUCAAUCGUUUUACAAAUGCUAGCUUAUUAAAGAUAUACCAAAAAGUAGGUAACUAGGGCUAAAUCUGAGACCAUGAUGUUUCAGAGUUUUAGAAUAUUAUUGUGAAUACACAGG